rnacentral:rRNA from 1 species
GAUUGAACGCUGGCGGCAGGCCUACCACCUGCAAGUCGAGCGGAUGAAGGGAGCUUGCUCCUGGAUUCAGCGGCGGACGGGUGAGUAAUGCCUAGGAAUCUGCCUGGUAGUGGGGGAUAACGUCCGGAAACGGGCGCUAAUACCGCAUACGUCCUGAGGGAGGAAGUGGGGGAUCUUCGGACCUCACGCUAUCAGAUGAGCCUAGGUCGGAUUAGCUAGUUGGUGGGGUAAAGGCCUACCAAGGCGACGAUCCGUAACUGGUCUGAGAGGAUGAUCAGUCACACUGGAACUGAGACACGGUCCAGACUCCUACGGGAGGCAGCAGUGGGGAAUAUUGGACAAUGGGCGAAAGCCUGAUCCAGCCAUGCCGCGUGUGUGAAGAAGGUCUUCGGAUUGUAAAGCACUUUAAGUUGGGAGGAAGGGCAGUAAGUUAAUACCUUGCUGUUUUGACGUUACCAACAGAAUAAGCACCGGCUAACUUCGUG